rnacentral:lncRNA from 1 species
CUUUUCUUUGUGUUCAAAAUUGUUUUCCUAGUUGUUUUUUGUGAAGAGAUUGCUCCGAUACAAGCUAAUAAUCCAUCAUAUCCAGAAGCAAAACAAAGAGCAUGGACUUCGGAGACAGACUUCCAGGAAUCGGAUCUCAGUUCCAUCAUUUACUUGUCCUGUGAUCAUGAGCAAGGCAGCUCAGUCCCGCUGCUCAAGUUGGGGAGACAAAAGGGAGCGGUGCGCACUGCGGGGAUCCGCGCCAGGAUAGAGGGUCCCUCCACCCCGCGCCUCGGCGGAGCAGAGCUUGAAACCCAGAACCUCAGACGGCGUCCACCUGGUCGCCCCAACGAGGCCGAGAAUGGGAGCCCAGAUCCUGACCUGGCCGGAUUGGUAGGGGCUUCUGGAUCCCGGGCCCCGGUGCUCUGUCCCGCGGCGCAGACGGGGAUAGACUGCAGACUGCGGAGAAAUCGGGACGUGGAAAAGCAGCCGCGGCGCCAGCCAGCCGCGGGUCCGGCCUCUGGAGAGAGGAAGCAGCCGGGCGGGGAGGGGGUUGCCUGGAGGGGUAGGCUGGUGGCUGCCUCUGGCCCUCGGCAGCCAGAAGAAGAAGCGAAGAGCAAAACUCCUUUUCUCCCUAGGGACAAGAGGGCUCCGGCGCGCUCUCCUCCCCAGGCCUGGGAAACAGGUUCUCAAGCGCCCUCCGACCUCCAAUCGAUCCCAGUCUCCCGCCUGCGACAGGGGAUGCUUGGAGAGCGAGGAGAGGGACGCGGGGAGCGGCACCUCCCCCAGGCCGAGGCUGGGCGGCCGAGUCCGACCUGCGCCGCUCUGAGCAAAACGAAACUCAAACUCCCAAAAUUCUCGACAGGGGAAUUUUAAAAAUUCCCCACCCCCCUUUCCUUUCACUUUUAACAAACCAGCAGCUGGGGGAAAAAUUAAACGAAAUGAGCGAUAGCUAAGGACGCUAUCUUUCCAAACUGUGAAACCCCUUUAAAAAAUAUUUUCGAAGGCCAGCCCCACAACUGGCCAGCUCUUCUGAAGCCUUUGCCUCUUCCUGAAAAUCACAUCAAAACAGUCGGAAAUGCGGCCAAGGUCCUGGGAUGGAGUAGCCGAGAGGCCCAGAGAACCCGCUGCUGCUGAAACCGCCAUGCUCUUCUUUCUCUUUAACCAAAAAAUAAAAAAGAUAAUAAUAAGAAGUAAAACCUUUUA